AACGGUAACAGGGAGCUUGCUCCGCUGACGAGUGGCGAACGGGUGAGUAAUACAUCGGAACGUGCCCAGUAAUGGGGGAUAGCUCGGCGAAAGCCGGAUUAAUACCGCAUACGCCGUGAGGGGGAAAGUGGGGGACCGCAAGGCCUCACGUUAUUGGAGCGGCCGAUGGCUGAUUAGCUAGUUGGUAGGGUAAAGGCCUACCAAGGCGACGAUCAGUAGCUGGUCUGAGAGGACGAUCAGCCACACUGGGAUUGAGACACGGCCCAGACUCAUACGGGAGGCAGCAGUGGGGAAUUUUGGACAAUGGGGGAAACCCUGAUCCAGCAAUGCCGCGUGUGCGAAGAAGGCCUUCGGGUUGUAAAGCACUUUUGUCAGGGAAGAAAUCCUUUGGGCUAAUACCCUAGGAGGAUGACGGUACCUGAAGAAUAAGCACCGGCUAACUACGUGCCAGCAGCCGCGGUAAU
rnacentral:rRNA from 1 species